CCUGCCCCUACAUGCCUUGCAGGUGUGCUGCUGUGUGCUAUACAGGUUAGGGGUAGACAGGACAGAGGCUUUGUCUACGCUCAGUGGAGGCUAUGUCCACCCUCAGUGUUCUGACUGAUGAAUAUCUAAACCAUUAGUAGCCUCACAUU
ensembl:snoRNA LOC120103347 small nucleolar RNA SNORA17